GAACAAAGACGAGAGCCUGAAAAAUGGUUGGAGGAAGCGAUCCUAAUUUCACUGAAGCGGAAAGAUAACCAUGGAACAAGUCUGCCAGCCCUCAACCCUGUCACUGGAGAGAAACUACCCCUGAACGCGCUAUCUGCCAAGGCUGCUCCUGGGUUCCUUAAAGUGGAGUGAAAACUUAAAGCACAUGAACAUUUCUGGUGCAGAAGACGUGAAGAUUCUUACGGCUCUCCCCCAGCCUGUUAACGACUGUUUCACCUAUACCUGCUCCCAUCUUGAAAUCCUCACCUUUAUCGUUUGCCCCAGCGCGUCUGCAGAGAAAUAAACUUUAUUGCCA